GCAAUCUUCCCACCUCAGCCUCCCAAGUAGCUGGGACUACAGAGAGACGGGGUUUCACCACAUUGGCCAGGCCGAUCUCAAACUCCUGACCUCAUGUGACCCACAUUGGCCUGGCAAAGUGCUGGGAUUACAAGCAUGAGCCACCACACUGGCCUAGCUUCUUUAAUACAAGAAAAUCACAAUGGUAAGAAAAAUGAAGACAGGCAAAAGCCACUGGCUCCCAGGUAACUCUACAUGAUGAAGGGGCUGAUAAUGGACUGACCAAAUCUAGAGAGAAUUCCAGAAGCAAGGACUCAAGAGGUUAAAGGUCCCAGAUCUAGAAAAAGCAGAAACUGCUGAUUGUUCCUUUUUUUGUUGACUGAUUAUACAAUGUGUCCUUUUAAAAAUGGUUCUCUGUUCUCUUUGCAGUUUUUGUAUUGGUUCCUAGUUCCUAGUAAUUUCUCACACUUAGUUAACCAGUCAGUCUUACCGAAAAGUAAACUAACCAGGGAUCCCUGGUUUCUGUAUCUUUAAAACCUAUAGGGUUACAAACCAAAGUGAGAUGCCUAUCUGGUUUCUGCACAGUUGUCCUGAAUUAUGUUGGCAGAUAUUUUAUAGCCAGAAAUUUACCUUGAAAAAUAAAUUGAAACCAUACCAAGUAUUUAGAGCUAGGGGUCUAAAAUCUGCAAAAGCCGUGGGAGGUUGUGUUGUCUCAAGAGCCAGUAUUCAGUGGACCACUCCACAUCAUAUUAAAUAAAAUUUAAACACAG
rnacentral:lncRNA from 1 species